rfam:Gossypium hirsutum cultivar TM-1 chromosome 13, whole genome shotgun sequence
GGGUGCGAUCAUACCAGCACUAAUGCACCAGAUCGUAUCAGAACUGGCAAUUAGGCAUGCUUGGGUGAGAGUAGAACUAGUAUAGGUGACCUCCUAGGAAGUCAUCGUGUUGCACCCC